GGAUUGUUGUCUGGCUCGGGG
rnacentral:miRNA from 1 species